GGGGCCGUCGUCUAGCUUGGUAGGAUGCCAGCCUGGGGCCCCAGAAGUCGUGGGUUCAAAUCCCACCGGCCCCACCA
rnacentral:tRNA from 1 species